rnacentral:lncRNA from 1 species
ACAAGGCUCUGGACUGUUUCUGCUCUUCAGAGAAUUCUGCCAUCUCUCUAAUGCACCAGCUGAAGUCACACCGCCAACACAAUGCAAAGAUCUUCUGCUGAGAUGGAGCUGGAGGAAACAACAGUGAAGUUGAACCAAUUGUCAAUCAGGAGACAGCAGCUAAAUGAGCGACACGCUAUUCUGACUAUGUUGAAAAAUUUUAGACAUCAAACAGGCCGAGGGAUAAUAGACACCAAGGAGGAAGCAGAGCUUGUGGCCAUUCAGAAUGAACUGGAUAUUCUAUCAGUGAAUAAGAAAGACCUGUUGGAGACACAAGAGAGGCUUGAUCGAAGACUGCAUAAGUCUGGUUCAAGCCAGGAUAUGAAUCACUCACCAGACUCCAUGAAGGCUAAAGAAAAUACAGGCUUUGAAAUAUAUUAUGUAGAGAACCCUCCUGAUAUCCCUGGUAAGUUCUGUGUAAUUACUAGUCUUUUCAGGAAUUUGAAAUAAAUUAUAAACAAG